rnacentral:rRNA from 1 species
GAUGAACGCUAGCUACAGGCUUAACACAUGCAAGUCGAGGGGCAGCAUGGUCUUAGCUUGCUAAGGCCGAUGGCGACCGGCGCACGGGUGAGUAACACGUAUCCAACCUGCCUUAUACUCCCGGACAGCCUUCUGAAAGGAAGAUUAAUACGGGAUGGUAUCACGGGCCAGCAUUUUCUCGUGAUUAAAGAACUUCGGUAUAAGAUGGGGAUGCGUUCCAUUAGAUAGUAGGCGGGGUAACGGCCCACCAAGGCGAUUAUGGGUAGCCGGGUUGAGAGACCGACCGGCCACAUUGGGACUGAGACACGGCCCAG